rnacentral:rRNA from 1 species
GAUGAACGCUAGCGGCAGGCUUAAUACAUGCAAGUCGAGGGGCAGCGCAGUGUAGCAAUACAUGGGCGGCGACCGGCAAACGGGUGCGGAACACGUACGCAACCUUCCUUUAGCUGGGAGAUAGCCCACCGAAAGGUGGAUUAAUAUCCCAUAGUAUAUUUGAGUGGCAUCACUUAGAUAUUAAAGCUCCGGCGGUUAAAGAUGGGCGUGCGUCUGAUUAGGUAGUUGGCGGGGUAACGGCCCACCAAGCCCACGAUCAGUAGCUGAUGUGAGAGCAUGAUCAGCCACACGGGCACUGAGACACGGGCCCGACUCCUACGGGAGGCAGCAGUAAGGAAUAUUGGUCAAUGGACGCAAGUCUGAACCAGCCAUGCCGCGUGGAGGGUGAAGGCCCUCUGGGUUGUAAACUUCUUUUCUUUGGGACGAACCCUGUUCUACGGGGACUGACGGUACCAGAGGAAUAAGCACCGGCUAACUCCGUGCCAGCAGCCGCGGUAAUACGGAGGGUGCAAGCGUUAUCCGGAUUCACUGGGUUUAAAGGGAGCGUAGGUGGGCUUUUAAGUCAGUGGUGAAAUCUCUGGGCUUAACCCGGAAACUGCCAUUGAUACUAUUAGUCUUGAAUUCUCUGGAGGUAAGCGGAAUAUGUCAUGUAGCGGUGAAAUGCUUAGAUAUGACAUAGAACACCCAUUGCGAAGGCAGCUUACUACGGAGCGAUUGACACUGAGGCUCGAAAGCGUGGGGGAUCAAACAGGAUUAGAUACCCUGGUAG